rnacentral:rRNA from 1 species
ACGAACGCUGGCGGCAUGCCUAACACAUGCAAGUCGAACGAGACCUUCGGGUCUAGUGGCGCACGGGUGCGUAACGCGUGGGAACCUGCCCUUAGGUUCGGAAUAACUCCCCGCAAGGGGUGCUAAUACCGGAUAAUGUCUUCGGACCAAAGAUUUAUCGCCUUUGGAUGGGCCCGCGUUGGAUUAGCUAGUUGGUAGGGUAAAAGCCUACCAAGGCGACGAUCCAUAGCUGGUCUGAGAGGAUGAUCAGCCACACUGGGACUGAGACACGGCCCAGACUCCUACGGGAGGCAGCAGUGGGGAAUAUUGGACAAUGGGCGAAAGCCUGAUCCAGCAAUGCCGCGUGAGUGAUGAAGGCCUUAGGGUUGUAAAGCUCUUUUACCCGGGAUGAUAAUGACAGUACCGGGAGAAUAAGCGCCGGCUAACUCCGUG